AGCAGUAGCCGCGGUAAUACGUAGGGUGCGAGCGUUAAUCGGAAUUACUGGGCGUAAAGCGUGCGCAGGCGGUUUUGUAAGACAGGCGUGAAAUCCCCGGGCUCAACCUGGGAAUGGCGCUUGUGACUGCAAAGCUAGAGUGCGGCAGAGGGGGAUGGAAUUCCGCGUGUAGCAGUGAAAUGCGUAGAUAUGCGGAGGAACACCGAUGGCGAAGGCAAUCCCCUGGGCCUGCACUGACGCUCAUGCACGAAAGCGUGGGGAGCAAACAGGAUUAGAUACCCCGGUAGUCCCUGUCUCUUAUAC
rnacentral:rRNA from 1 species